CAAAGCAAAGAGCAAGGCAAAAGGGUUUGCUGGAAACAGGCUUAACUAGAAACAAGUGGUCUUCCAGUAUAUCAUUUAGGUAUUAGGGCUAGAUGUACGAUGAACAAUUCAUGUUUUAAAUCAACUAUGUUUAUGAUCAGUGAUGAACCUACAUUUCCAUUGAUUCUCACAAGGUACACUAUUAAACCAAUACGCUGGCUUCACUGAUCUCCUAAGGUCGUUGGCUGAUGGUGUCGUAGACAGACUCAUCUCUCCUGGCCAGUGAAGAGUACGUUUGGCUCUCUUCCUUUCCUGUCACAGCUUUGCUGCGCUUCCUGUCAAAACAAAUCCUCAUUAGAAAAUCUUGACAAAAAUGUGUUCUACCUAAAAACAAAAUGAAUAUACCUUAUCAUCAUAUUAACAUCUCACCAUCUCUCUUAAACACUAGUAAUCAGCAUCUCUUACAUAAAUAAUAUACCUUAACAUCAUAUUAACAUCUCACCAUCUCUCUUAAACACUAGUAAUCAACAUCUCUUACAUAAAUAAUAUACCUUAACAUC
ensembl:lncRNA